ensembl:lncRNA
GUUUUCCUCCGUUUAUUCCUGCGCCAUAAAGGAUCCACAGGUUAUGAUUUUCACGGUAUGUUUGGACCUACUGAGUUAAACUACAAUGAAUCUGUUCACAUCAGCGUGUCUCUGCGUGUCUCUGCUGUUUGGCUGUUUCGUGGAUUUGGCAUCUUCAGACCAGACAACCAUCACAGCUGAGUCUGGACAGAACGUCACUCUGACAUGUCGAGCUCCAUCAGGCAAAACCAUCAGAGCUGUGAAGUGGAGCAGAAAUGACCUGGGAGAUAAAUAUGUGCUUUUGUACAGAGAUGAGCAGCUGGAUCCAACCAACCAGCAUCCAUCUUUUAAGAACCGGGUGGAUCUGCAGGACAGACAGAUGAAGGAUGGAGACGUGUCUUUGAUUCUGAAGAAUGUGAUGAUUAAUGAUGGUGGAUCAUACAAGUGUGGUGUCCUUGUGGGAGAAUCAGCAUCAUGGGAGAUCAUGGGGACUGUCAACAUGAGUGUGGCUCCUCCAGGUCACACAGAGGAUGGAUCUAAAGGACAGAUGAAUUAUCUGUCGGGUUCUGGUGUGUUUCUUCUUCUUUUCCUUUUUCUUGUUGUCACUGCUGCUCCUGUUUGUCGUUGGAUUUUCAUCUCCAGAAAAUUAAAAAAGAAAAUAUUUCAGGGGUCAUACUAGUCUCCUGAUGGUUUAAAAACACUAUUUAAAAAUGAUGUUGGUUCAAAAAGAUAAAGAAACAGAUACGACAUAAAAUUCUGAUGAUGGAUCAACCAGAAGGAAGGUCGGCAUAAAAAACAGGAAUGUUUCAAAAACAAUGAAGGUUUAAACAACUCUUAGGACCUCUAACCCUCGAAAUAUGAAAGGACUUAUUAAAUAUAUUGAAGGUAUUAAUAAAACCAUGACCUCAUGCUUAUGAGUAAACUUUAACUAAACUCCUGUCUUUUUGUGUUUGUUUAUUUUAUUUGACAAUGCUAAGAUCAAUAUAACACGUGCUGCACACGGUAGAUGAUUUGUUGCUUUGGGCACUUCUUAAGCUUCUUAAAAUCUUAAAAUGUCAGACUGUAACUUCACUGCUGAGCCUCGAGUUAAACUCUCUGUGGAGGAAACUUCACAGUGAAACUCUGAGCUGAGGAACAAACUCUCCAUCAUCCUCAUCCUCAGCAAACAGCAGAGUCUCAUGGUGUUGAAAACAGACAUCACCAGAUGAUGAUAAAAAAUAAAUAAAUAAUUUUUUCA